UCGAGAAUUUUUCUCAAUGGGCGAAAGCCUGAAGGAGCGACGCCGCGUGGAGGAUGAAGGUCUUCGGAUUGUAAACUCCUGUCAUUGGGGAACAAAGCCGCCGGUUAACUGCCGGUUGGUCUGAUAGUACCCGAAGAGGAAGAGACGGCUAACUCUGUGCCAGCAGCCGCGGUAAUACAGAGGUCUCAAGCGUUGUUCGGAUUCAUUGGGCGUAAAGGGUGCGUAGGCGGCGAGGUAAGUCGGAUGUGAAAUCCCAGGGCUCAACCCUGGAACUGCAUUCGAUACUGCCUUGCUAGAGUACUGGAGAGGAGACUGGAAUUUACGGUGUAGCAGUGAAAUGCGUAGAUAUCGUAAGGAAGACCAGUGGCGAAGGCGAGUCUCUGGACAGUUACUGACGCUGAGGCACGAAGGCCAGGGGAGCAAACGGG
rnacentral:rRNA from 1 species